rnacentral:rRNA from 1 species
UACGAAGGGGGGCUAGCGUUGUUCGGAUUUACUGGGCGUAAAGCGCACGUAGGCGGUUUGUUAAGUCAGGGGUGAAAUCCCACAGCUCAACUGUGGAACUGCCUUUGAUACUGGCAAGCUAGAGUCCCGGAAGAGGUAAGUGGAACUCCCUAGUGUAGAGGUGGAAUUCGUAGAUAUUAGGAGGAACACCGGUGGCGAAGGCGGGUCUCUGGGCCGAAACUGACGCUGAGGAGCGAAAGCGUGGGGAGCAAACAGG